GACGAACGCUGGCGGCGUGCCUAAUACAUGCAAGUAGAACGCUGAAGGAGGAGCUUGCUUCUCUGGAUGAGUUGCGAACGGGUGAGUAACGCGUAGGUAACCUGCCUGGUAGCGGGGGAUAACUAUUGGAAACGAUAGCUAAUACCGCAUAAGAGUAGAUGUUGCAUGACAUUUGCUUAAAAGGUGCAAUUGCAUCACUACCAGAUGGACCUGCGUUGUAUUAGCUAGUUGGUGAGGUAGCGGCUCACCAAGGCGACGAUACAUAGCCGACCUGAGAGGGUGAUCGGCCACACUGGGACUGAGACACGGCCCAGACUCCUACGGGAGGCAGCAGUAGGGAAUCUUCGGCAAUGGACGGAAGUCUGACCGAGCAACGCCGCGUGAGUGAAGAAGGUUUUCGGAUCGUAAAGCUCUGUUGUAAGAGAAGAACGAGUGUGAGAGUGGAAAGUUCACACUGUGACGGUAUCUUACCAGAAAGGGACGGCUAACUACGUGCCAGCAGCCGCGGUAAUACGUAGGUCCCGAGCGUUGUCCGGAUUUAUUGGGCGUAAAGCGAGCGCAGGCGGUUAGAUAAGUCUGAAGUUAAAGGCUGUGGCUUAACCAUAGUACGCUUUGGAAACUGUUUAACUUGAGUGCAAGAGGGGAGAGUGGAAUUCCAUGUGUAGCGGUGAAAUGCGUAGAUAUAUGGAGGAACACCGGUGGCGAAAGCGGCUCUCUGGCUUGUAACUGACGCUGAGGCUCGAAAGCGUGGGGAGCAAACAGG
rnacentral:rRNA from 1 species